rnacentral:rRNA from 1 species
AUUAUGGCUCAGGAUGAACGCUGGCGGCGUGCUUAACACAUGCAAGUCGAACGGAGAUAUUUGAAAGCUUGCUUUAGAUAUCUUAGUGGCGGACGGGUGAGUAACGCGUGGGUAACCUACCCUGUACAGGGGGAUAGCAGUUGGAAACGACUGAUAAAACCGCAUAAAACGGCAGUACCGCAUGGUACAACCGUCAAAUAUUCAUAGGUACAGGAUGGGCCCGCGUCUGAUUAGCUAGUUGGUGGGGCAACGGCCUACCAAGGCGACGAUCAGUAGCCGGCCUGAGAGGGUGAACGGCCACAUUGGGACUGAGACACGGCCCAAACUCCUACGGGAGGCAGCAGUGGGGAAUAUUGGACAAUGGGGGAAACCCUGAUCCAGCGAACCGCCGCGUGAGUGAAGAAGUAUUUCGGUAUGUAAAGCUCUAUCAGCAGGGAAGAUGAUGACGGUACCUGACUAAGAAGCACCAGCUAAAUACGUGCCAGCCGCCGC